AUGGAUAUGGGCAUUAAAGCUUUAAGGCGGUACUUCUUUCUCAUAACAUUCAGAUCUUAUCUUUAUUGUGCUAAACCAACUGAAACAAGAUUCACAGCUUGGAUGGAUGCAAGACCUGAACUAGGACAUCUUUGUAAUAACCUCAGGAUUUGAUAAAUAAUUUCGGGUGUACAGCAAUCUUCAAUUGUAUCUGUGUACAGUUAGUCAUGCUUGUUGGUUGUUGCAGCUUCUCCAUUAAUAACCUCUCUUACUCUUUGCUCUUCCCCUUGGUUGAUAGAUGUGCUCAACUAGUGCAUCACUCAAAAAUCAAU
rnacentral:misc_RNA from 1 species